rnacentral:misc_RNA from 1 species
UGCUAGUAUUGGUUGGUGGCUUCUUUUGUGAGGCCAACUAUCAUUAUGCAGUCUUUUCAUUUGAUCGCUCUAGAUACUUUUGGAGAUUGAUUUUGUAUAUAAAAUAGUUGCUUGCAUUUGGAAUCCGUAUGUGGGUGGUAUUAAUUUUUGUGGAUGCCUCGUGGAUAAGCCUCUUUGCCUCUCUCAAAGGCACGGAGUUCGCCCUGUGAAAUGGGACCCUUCCACCUUCUCCUUCGAGCAGUGUCUCACGAUAUUUCUCGUUUUGUGGGGUGGUGGAAUGCGGGUCUCAAUAUAUUGUUGUAAGUGCGGCUCUUUGAAAUUGGUUGCUGGUGUUAUGCCAUGCCUCCAUGCUCGAGUAGAUUUAUCCAAGUGAUAGUGCCCUUAACCUUGGUGCGACUCUGGUUCUUUCCCCUCUUGCC